rnacentral:rRNA from 1 species
GACAGAGGGUGCAAACGUUGUUCGGAAUUACUGGGCGUAAAGGGCUCGUAGGCGGCCAACUAAGUCAGACGUGAAAUCCCUCGGCUUAACCGGGGAACUGCGUCUGAUACUGGAUGGCUGGAGUUUGGGAGAGGGAUGCGGAAUUCCAGGUGUAGCGGUGAAAUGCGUAGAUAUCUGGAGGAACACCGGUGGCGAAGGCGGCAUCCUGGACCAAUACUGACGCUGAGGAGCGAAAGCCAGGGGAGCAAACGGG